rnacentral:rRNA from 1 species
CCUACGGGAGGCAGCAGCGGGGAAUAUUGCACAAUGGGCGCAAGCCUGAUGCAGCCAUGCCGCGUGUGAAGAAGGCCUUCGGGUUGUAAAGCACUUUCAGCGGGGAGGAAGGCGGUGAGGUUAAUAACCUCAUCGAUUGACGUUACCCGCAGAAGAAGCACCGGCUAACUCCGUGCCAGCAGCCGCGGUAAUACGGAGGGUGCAAGCGUUAAUCGGAAUUACUGGGCGUAAAGCGCACGCAGGCGGUCUGUCAAGUCGGAUGUGAAAUCCCCGGGCUCAACCUGGGAACUGCAUUCGAAACUGGCAGGCUAGAGUCUUGUAGAGGGGGGUAGAAUUCCAGGUGUAGCGGUGAAAUGCGUAGAGAUCUGGAGGAAUACCGGUGGCGAAGGCGGCCCCCUGGACAAAGACUGACGCUCAGGUGCGAAAGCGUGGGGAGCAAACAGGAUUAGAUACCCUAGUAGUC